rnacentral:rRNA from 1 species
AUGACGCUGGCGGCAUGCCUUACACAUGCAAGUCGUCCGGUAACAGGUCUUCGGAUGCUGACGAGUGGCGAACGGGUGAGUAAUACAUCGGAACGUGCCCAGUAAUGGGGGAUAGCUCGGCGAAAGCCGGAUUAAUACCGCAUACGCCCUGAGGGGGAAAGUGGGGGACCGCAAGGCCUCACGUUAUUGGAGCGGCCGAUGGCUGAUUAGCUAGUUGGUAGGGUAAAGGCCUACCAAGGCGACGAUCAGUAGCUGGUCUGAGAGGACGAUCAGCCACACUGGGACUGAGACACGGCCCAGACUCCUACGGGAGGCAGCAGUGGGGAAUUUUGGACAAUGGGGGAAACCCUGAUCCAGCAAUGCCGCGUGUGCGAAGAAGGCCUUCGGGUUGUAAAGCACUUUUGUCAGGGAAGAAAUCCUUUGGGCUAAUACCCUAGGGGGAUGACGGUACCUGAAGAAUAAGCACCGGCUAACUACGUGCCAGCAGCCGCGGUAAUACGUAGGGUGCAAGCGUUAAUCGGAAUUACUGGGGCGUAAAGGCGUGCGCAGGCGGUUGUGUAAGACAGGUGUGAAAUCCCCGGGACUUAACCUGGGAAUUGCAUUCGUGACUGCACGACUAGAGUGGUGUCAGAGGGGGGGU